AGGUUGGUAGAAAUGGGCGGACGCGCUGAGCGCAGUCAGAAAGCCCUGUCCCCAUGGCGGUGGGGGCCAUGACAAAACGGGAACAAUGGCGUGGAGGAAAAGAAGUGCCGAGGGGAUUUGGCAGCACGAGCAGAGAAAAGCAGAGGCAGAGUGUAGCUGAGUCACCACACUGGCAGAGCAUUAGAGAAGGAGCAACGGAUGCCUACUGCUGAAGCCAUGUCAAGAAAAACAGGUGGCUGGAGACACUGAAGCCUGAAUCACCCUCCCGGGACCUGAAAGACAGCAUCCACGACAGGAAACAAAAUCGAGAAAGACAUCUCUUCAUUCUGUGGAAGUGUCUGCUUGGAAGCCCCAGAGCUGAGAGGAGGAGGAGAUGAUGAUUUUAUUUAUUUAUUUGAGAGAGAGAGAGCACACGAGCAGAGGGAGAAGAGAGGACAGAGGGAGAAGCAGACUUCCCGCUGCAGGGAGCCCAAUGCGGGACUCGAUCCCAGGACCCUGAGAUCAUGACCUGAGUUGAAGGCAGCUGCUUAACCGACUGAGCCACCCAGGUAACCCAAAAGAACAUGAUCUUUAAAAUGAUUUUUGAUAUCUAUUGCCAAAUUUAUCUUCAAAUUAUUUCUGUCCACUUAUGAUUUUCCUUGCCACCCCCAGCACUGUAGGAGAUUCCAUUUCAUCUGUUAUUAAUCUUUAGAACUGUUUUAAUCUUUGCCAACUUGAUAAGCACUAAAUGAUAUCUCGUUUUUAUGCUCUUCUAUUAUUUUUCCACACAAAUUUCAGAAUAAUUUUACAAAAUAAAGAGAGAGAGGAGGAAGAGAAGGGAGGAGGAGAAAGAAGAGAAGACAGAGAAAACUAAAGAAUUCUUUUCCCCUUAGGAUUUUUUUUGGAUUAAAAAAAUCCCAAAGUGCUUAAAAAUGACAUACAUAAUACAUUAAUAUACUAUUAUUUAGGAAAUCAAACAUCAAAAGUAUAUAGGAAGGAAAAUUUUUAAUUCCCUCUUUAUCCCCUCCCCCCUUCAACUGCCCUCCCCUCUCCAGAGAUAAAAUUUUUAGUGUUUUUUGAAAAAAUCUGUAUGAAUUUUUAUUUAUAUGUGUAGACAUAUAUAAUUUUUGUUAAAUUGAUUGUUUUGCUUCUUUUUUUUCUAUUCUUGCCUUGGAAAUUAUACAUACUAUCUCUAUUCCUCUAAUAGUUAUUCUUAAAAAUGAAGUACUUCAUUAAACAUAACAAUAUCUAGAAUUAAACCAUGGCUGUAUCCUUUCCAAAUAAUAAGACAAAGCCUUAGGUAGUCUUUAUUUCUCUUUUACUUCCACUUCUGACCAUAAGAAAAUCAUCUAGGAUUUUUUUUUUUUUAAGAUUUUAUUUAUUUAUUUUAGAGAGAGAAUGUGCAAGUGGGAGGUAGGGGCAGAGGAAGAGGGAGAGAGAGAAUCUCAAGUAGACUCCACACUGAGUGCGGAGCCUGAUGCAGGGCUGGAUCUCAUUACGCUGAGAUCAUGACCUGAGCUGAAAUCAAGAGUUGGAUGCUUAACUGACUGAGCCACCCAGGUGCCCCUCAUCUGGGAUUUUAAUUCAAGGUUUUCAUCAAUCUUUUUACAUUGCAUAUUACAAUUAUUUAGACUUAAUUACCCACCUUUCUACAUAAGGUUUUUUGUGCCCCACUUUUUUUCCUUUUUUACUAACAAGUUUUAUUUUUCUGAAGUAUGUUCUUUUUUUUUUUAAGAUUUUAUUUUUAAGUAAUUCUAUACCCAAUGUAAGGCUUGAACUCACAACCCUGAGAUCAAGAGUCACAUGCUUUACUGACUGAGCCAACUGGGUACCUCAUGAAGUAUGUUCUUAAGUAAUUUUCAGAAAGGAGAGGAUAAACUUUCUGCAACAUUUCAUGUUCAAGGAAGUGUUUAUUUUAUCCUCUCACUUGAAUGCUAGCUGAUAUAAUUUUAGAUUAAAAAUUCUUUUGUCUGAUAUUUUUGAGGAUUUGCUCUAUUAUUGUCCUCUAUAAUCCAGUGUUGUUGAUAAGAAAACUCUUAACAAAUUCCCUGGGUUUUUUUGGUUGUUUGGUUGGUUUUUAAAUGAGAGACUUCUUCCUUUUUAUAAUCUUUUAUGCUUUAUUCUCAUGGUGCAAUGCAUAAUUCUCAGAAUGAGUGCCUCCUUACAGCUUCAUCCCAGGCCCAGCCCUGAAGCCAGACAUUGUAUAUUCUCUAAAAAGAGUAGUAAACAAGGUCAGCAGGGUCUCUGUCUGCAAGGAGGUUACAUUUGAGGGUUGGGCUGAGAGAGACACGACAAUAAACAAAUGAAUAAAUGAAAGAAUUAAGGUUAAAAAAAAAAGGGAACAUGUUGCUCUAAUAGAGAACAAGGGAUUGAAUGUAUAGUUCUUUAAGAUGAGGUUAACAUUUAGGAACAUAUAGAUUUGUAUGUGUGUGUCUUACCUUCUCUUUUCCAUUUUCUACCUUUUGUUUCUCCAUGCUACAUUCUGGACAUUUUCUUCUUAGAUAUCUUUGGGUUCACUAAUUUUUUGCUUCUUUGUCUAAUCUGCUGUUAAACCUGUUAAGAGUUAACCUGAGUUCUUAAUUUCAAUUACUGUAUUUUCAGUCCUAUAAUUUUUAUUUAUUUGAUUUUCAAGUCUGAAGUGUCACUUUUAUAGUUCAUAGGUUUUUGCCAAAAUUUUAAAGCUUAUCUUUUAUCUUCUGAACAUAGUAAACAUGGUUGUUUUAUAAUCUGUGUAAUAUCUAUUAGAAUCUAAAAUAUCUCUGUGUUGGUUUCUGUUGUCUGUUAUUUCUGUUGGUUCUUGCCCAUAGUGUUUUGUCUUUUUCAUGUGACUAGUUAUUCUUGAUUGUGUUCUAAACAUCUUUUUUUUAAAAAAAAGAUAUUAUUUAUUUAUUUAGAGAGCAAGCGGCAGGAGGGGCAGAGGGAGAGGGAGAGAGAAUCUCAAGCAGACUCUGUGCAGAGUGCAGAGCCCAAUGCAGGGCUUGAUCCUACGACCAUGAAAUCAUAACCUGAGCUGAAAUCAAGAGUUGGACACUUAACCGACUGAGCCACCCAGGUGCCCAGUAAACUUGUAGAAAUAGUUUGAGGCCUGAAAUAAUGUUAUCUUCAGCAUGAGACCAGUUUCGCUAUUUUCUGUAUCACAUGAGUGUGUUAGUAGUCUGGAGUCACCUUAAUCAAGCAUGUAUUGACUGAAAUUGUUACCCCUAUGGGUGAUAUAAAACUGGGCAGAAUCUGGGUGAGGGCUGAUUUACUCCAGUUUACCUUUACUCCCAGGGUGCAGUCCUUCAGGGUCCUAACUCAAAGGAGGGGUGGAGGAUAUAUUUUAUCAGAGAACUGGGAUGAUCCUGUUUGAUUUUUUGUAUUCCUCAUCCCAGAGAAGCUGUCAGUAUCACAGUCGUCCUCUCAGCCUUUUUUUUCUCCAGAUUGGCCAGUGUCCCCUGCACAAAAGUAGUGUCAGUGCCAGGCUCACUUCUCUGGAUUCAUGUCUUUUUCUGGAUCUUGGUACUUGAAAUAAAAGUUUCUUUUUCUGGGGUGCCUGGGUAGCUCAGUCAGUUAAGCAUCUGAUUCUUGGUUUUGGCUCAGGUCAUGAUCUCAGGGUCAUGAAAUCAAGCCCUGAAUUGGGCUCCAUGCUUAGCUCAGAGUCUGCUUGAGAUUCUCUUCCUCUCCCUCUGCCCCUCACUCACUGUCUCUCUCUCUCUCUCAAAUGAAUAAAUAAAUCUUAAAAAAAAAAAAGAAGAAGUUCCUCUUUCUGACAAACUCAAAACAAGCUUUAUUUUGCCAAAAGAAAAAUAAAACCUCCCUAUGAAACCUCUUUAUGGAACUCCCUCUGCACCUUCAGCAAGGGUUUCCAAACCUGGAUGAUUAACAGAGUCACUUGAGGAGCCUUUAAAAUGGCCCAAUCCUGGGAGGUGUGUACCUUGGUAGGUGAAGACUUUCUCAUGUUCUGUGAUCACAAGUGGUUUUAAGAUAGUCUCCAGAUCCCCAAUGUCCACAUAUAUUUUUUCCUAAGAAACCACUUGUAAUUAGGUAUUCCCUUUCAUGGAGCCAUUUUCCUACUAAUAGCUACCGAAGCCAAACUAGCCAAUUGAAGUACACAGUCCUUCUGCCUUGAGUGGUUUCAGUAUAUCAACAUAACUGAAACAAGGAUAAUCAGACUCCUGUGUGGGAUUUUUUUCAAGGGCCAUCAGGAAAGAUUUGUACCUUCCACUGUGGUGAUUUAUUUUAUUUAUUGUUAUUGAAAACACUAUGGAUAUGCAUUAUGAUAAAUUAUUACACUUUCUUUUUUAUUGCAUUUUCUUUUUAAACAUUUUAAAUAUUUUACAUGUAACUCCAAAUGAUUCUUAAAUUCAUAGCUUCCCACUGGUAUCUUUGUUUCUCUUAGUUGUUGAAGAGUAAUGAUAUUUUUAGUUGGUUCUGAGCAUUGUCAAACACUGAUAUUUUUGGAGUUGUCUUUCUGGCAUUUAAGAAAAAGCCCAGGAGAACUUGGAGCUGACCUAAUGGCAUGUCAUUGGGUGGUUACAGAUUUUCCUCUUGCAGUAGAACAAUGCUUCCUUUUGCCAACUGCCUUAAUU